CUGAAAUUAGUUUACAAAGCAUUUUGAUUGCUGUUGUUUUCCCCAUUGUUUGCUGGUGCUCAUAAGAGCCGGAUUCUUCCAUAGGAGAUGCCCCGUGGUUAUGUCCACACAGCAAGGAGCUAAAGGAGACCUCUAGCCACGACUCAGUGAAGGAUGACAGCCCCAAUUCCAACACUCCAUCAAGAAUUGAAUGCUGCCAACAGCAGGGGAAGGGAUAUGAAGGGAUCCUUGGUGAGUCUGCUGCUCUGGCUGGAGCCUAGUUUGCACCAUUUGGAGACUUUAAGAAGAGGCACCAAGUAAGAUUAACUCAGAAUUCUUGACCACAGUUUGCUUGAUGAAAAACAACAACAACAACAACAAACUAAGGCUCCCACACAUGUGCGGAACUGUGUGGCCCUCUGCUGAGCCCGCCAGCUUAUCUCACGACGUCAUUUCGUGAGUAAUGGAAAACAAAAACUUGGCCAGAGAAAAUGUUCGUCUCGCUUUAGAACUGAACACAAAUCUCUCUGUGCCCGUCAAUGUCCGACUGAAAAGGAUGAAAGCUGUACUUGAGGGUCUAAAGCAGGAUUUCGGGGCAGGGAAUUAGUUUCCCGGGCAAUGGAGUUGCUAAGAAGCUGAACAGUAGACAAUGAGGCAAAUCAGAGGCCACCAACAGCAGGACCCAGCUGCGGGGACAAAGGGAAGAUGAAGAUAUCAGAACCCGGUGGGUGGGGUCAUCAGGCAGGAGCCACAGCCAGCCCAGACACCUGCCUAGCAGGAUCAGGAGACCAGUAAGGAACCGCCACUGCUGGGACCACAGAAGGCUGGGAAAGUGAAGGAAAAAUUUCGUGGUCCUACGUGAACUCUGUUGGGAGCCAGAGAUCCCAGAGACUGGGAAAUGUUUGAGAAUGAUCAGCCCAGGACCCACAGCAAAGGAGUGCAAGACACUGAUAAGACAGAAUCUGACUCACACACGCUCCUCUUGCCCCUCCCUCCACGGUGUUCUCACCUAGCCAUGAAAACAACAGGACAGGAAGUCUGGAAGGACCAGAGGCUGGAGCGGCAGAGAAAGGCACUAUGGGUUCAUAGACCAAGUGCACAUCCAAAUUCAUUUCUAUCACUAGGGCUGCUGCUCAUGCGAGAUCAACUUGAGGAGUUGGGACAUGUACUGAGCCCGGGGUGGAGCCUGAGACAGAGAGAACCACGUCAGGAAACACAUGAGUACAUACACUGAAGCUUGGCUAGAAGUUUGAUACAUGUGCUAGCAUAGGGUGCUGAGUUCCCUCUGGUACCGCUACCCGCAACUCGCCAUGGAAGAGAUCACAAGUAGAGAUGUGAGCUAUUUCUGGAUCAACCUGGGCUCCUUUCAAACUGAUCUUCCUAGACAUAUGCUUCUUGUGUUUACUUCAGAACCACAGCGGACUGCUCAAGAGGACUUCCCAGGAGGCCUGGGAAGGAGCCAUGCAUUUGUUCUUUAAUAAUCCAUUCGUGAUGAAAUCCAACAAGUCCCAGUUCAACCCUCCAUUUGGUAACAUGUUUCCAUGGCAAUUAUAACUGCAGUACUGCUGGUGGUACAAAUACGUCUCUCACCGACCUUAAAGAUCAGAAGUGGGGGAGUGUGAGGGGGAGAAGCAAAAAUAUAAUAUAAACAGAAGAAUGGAAAAUGACCUCCAAGAAGCAUAGCAGUUAAACAGUGACUAAGGAGGCUGUGAUGGGCAUCAACACAAAUCUGUAACACAGCCAGCUACAUCGUUCUCUUGCCGCCAUUUCUGCCUUUCCACGAUGGAUUGCAUUUUCUUACACCGUGAGCUCAAAUGACUCCUUCUCCACUAAGUUUCUCUGUGUCAGGGCUUCAGUCACAGCAGGGAGCAAAGCAACUGAUACAAACCAAGAAUGGUGAAAAACGGGGAUGAACUGCUUCAUAUAGAGGCAGGAGUGUCCUGGCUGAGAUGUGGCCUUUGGACCGAGGAAAGGAUGUAUCUGGGGAGAUAUUGCAGGAGAGAGCUUGACUAUAAUGAAUGCAUUCGAAGCUGUGUUGUGGGUAUAAAUAAAGCAUUCUCAGGGCUCCUGAGAUAGAGGAAGUGCUCACCGGUGCCUGCUCUCGUUUUGUAAGACAGAAAGGACUGCUUUUGCCUCUCAGUUAGCCAUAAAACACGAGAGGACACAAAACGCCCUGCCAUAUUUUAUCAGAGGACUCCGCACAAAAUAUUCACGUGUUUACUCAGACUGCUUUUAUUCCAGCAUCAACUGGGUGAUCGUGUGGUACAGAAGUGGGCAUCAGAGGUUCAGCCUUGGAUUCCUGGGUACAUGCAGCCACCCUGAGUUCACAGGGUUGUAGGGAGGGGCCAGUGGAAGGCCGACUCUGGGUGCCUCCUGUGACUGUUCACAUCACAUCGCAUUGACUCAGCGCUGUCUGAGGAGUGUUAACUGAAUCUUCUGAGCUCACAGCCGUGGCUAUGGUGGGACACGGCCCACCCACAGCUUGGAUGACUAGGAAACACAAGCCUGAGACCAAUAUUUGCCCCAAGGAAGACACAAAGCCAGUCUGAAUCCCAGAGGGACUCUUCUGUUUUCAAUAUCCUUUGAGAUGCAAGCUGAUGGUGUUUGUUUAGGUUGGCAUUGAGAAGGAAUCGUUCUGUUGUGAUUCCAAGUUGCUUAGAAAAAGUCGGUGAUGCCUCCAAGAAUAUGAUUAAACUAGGCACCCGCUGAGGGAGGGAGAGCAAGAGAAAUUUCUCUGUCUUCUAAAAACUGUGCAAUUAACACUAUAGGCAUGGUCUAGCUCACAAGAGACACUCCAGUGUCAAGACCAGUGGGGCUUUGGGUGCUUCAACUCAGUCUCAAUGUCUAGAUUCAAGAUGAUAGAUAUGUUUAUGCUAGGCCUCCAUUUCUUUAGGAUUACUGCAUUUUAGACCAGAAAGAAUAAAAAAAAAAGUCUCUGCAAGUGACUGAAACGACCACAUAAAGUUAUAGGGGGCCCAUGGUGACUAUAUCCACACAGCCCAGCCUUGUUCCAGACUCACAGACCACAAAGGCAGAGCGGGAUUGAUACUGAAAUGCAGUUUCUCCCUAUUAUUAUUGCUGAUUGCGGACAGA